ensembl:snRNA U6 U6 spliceosomal RNA
GCUUGUUUGGGCAAUGCGUGUACUAAUAUUGUACCGAUACAGAGAUCAGCAUGGCCCCUGAACAAAAAUGACAUGCAAAUUCGUGAAACAAUGACGUUUCCA